GUAGGUGGCAAGCGUUGUCCGGAUUUACUGGGCGUAAAGAGUGUGCAGGCGGAUAAUUAAGUCAGGUGUGAAAUCCCGAGGCUCAACCUCGGAGGUGCAUUUGAUACUGGUUAUCUAGAGUGCAGGAGAGGAGAGUGGAAUUCCUAGUGUAGCGGUGAAAUGCGUAGAGAUUAGGAAGAACACCAGUGGCGAAGGCGACUCUCUGGACUGUAACUGACGCUGAGACACGAAAGCGUGGGGAGCAAACAGGAUUAGAUACCCUGGUUGUCCACGCCCGUAAACGAUGAAUACUAGGUGUCGGGGGUCGAACCUCGGUGCCGCAGCUAACGCAUUAAGUAUUCCGCCUGGGAGUACGGUCGCAAGACUA
rnacentral:rRNA from 1 species